UGUGCUUCCCAAAAUUUACUUUCUGAAGCGAAUUCCAAAAGUUUACUGAAAUUUUACAAUUUAAACCGGGCUAUUGACUCUAAAUUUAACUAAAAACUGAAACUAAAGUGCAGAUUUACUGAGUACAACGACAACUAACUUUACUACAAAUUAAAACAAAUUGGUUACUUUGGGCGUAGGAAAUGAUCUGACACGCGAAGCAGAAUCUCUUGACAUCGGUGGCGAGUCGCGGCCAAUAGAAGCGCUCUCGAACCUUACACAACGUCUUCCAGUACCCGAGAUGAGCUUCUUCGUGGAUCUGACGAAUCAACGGCUGACGUUCACACAUCGGAACGACCUGUUUCCACCGAAACGCACUAUCUUCGGCAAGCGACGAACCAGAGAUGAACUUGAAGACUUGACCAUCAACGACUUUGAAGUCCUUGUACUUAUCCGGACACUUCUCGAUCUGCGUCUUCAACCCAUCUACGUACGGAUCCGGCAAACAGACAUCAACGGCGGUGAGACUUCGCGACAGGGCAUCAGCAGGUACAUUUUCGGUUCCCUUCUUGUACUGGAGCGUGAUGUCGUACUUGGAUAGCUUCAAGGCCCAACGAGCGAUCCGCGGGGACUUGGACUCGAUGCUCAUUGUUCGCAAGAAGGUCAGACUCAUCGCAUCUGUCUGGACGACGAACUGACUACCUUCGACGAAGUGCUUGAAGUUCUCGAUUGCCAGCAGGACGGCCAAACAUUCUCUCUCCGUGGCGCUGUACUUCCGCUGGGUGCUGGAAAGUUUCUUCGAAAAGUAGGCAAUCGUCCGACGUACUCCAUCCUGAAUCUGGACCAACACAGCACCAAUCGCUAAAUCCGAGCUGUCUGUCUCGAUCACGAAAGGCAACGCAAAGUUGGGAUUCGCUAGAACAGGUGCGGACACCAACGCAUUCUUCAACUUCCUAAACGCCUCGUCAGCUUCCGGGGUCCAACUGAACUUCUUCCGGUCUUUCUUGAGGAGAUUUGUUAUCGGUGUUGUUAUU